ensembl:snRNA U6 U6 spliceosomal RNA
GUGCUCGAUUCAGCAGCACAUAUACUAAAAUUGGAAUGAUACAGAGAAGCUCAGCAUGACAUCUGUACAAGGAUGACAUGCAAAUUCAUUAACUGUUCCCUAUUUUC